UGGUAGAUGCACCUUGAUCUUCGACUCCUCUGGUUGGUGAGAGCCUGCCAGAGGAUUUUUUU
rnacentral:sRNA from 1 species